rnacentral:rRNA from 1 species
CAGUAGCCGCGGGAAUACGGAGGGUGCAAGCGUUAAUCGGAAUUACUGGGCGUAAAGCGCACGCAGGCGGUUUGUUAAGUCAGAUGUGAAAUCCCCGAGCUUAACUUGGGAACUGCAUUUGAAACUGGCAAGCUAGAGUCUUGUAGAGGGGGGUAGAAUUCCAGGUGUAGCGGUGAAAUGCGUAGAGAUCUGGAGGAAUACCGGUGGCGAAGGCGGCCCCCUGGGACAACACUGACGCUGAAGCACGAAAGCGUGGGGAGCAAACAGGAUUAGAUACCCGCGUAGUCCCUGUCUCUUAUAC